CUCCGCAACAAGUGGAUUCCUUGUGUUGAAUUCGAGUUGGAGCAUGGAUUUGUGUACCGUGAGCACGGAAGCACACCCGGAUACUAUGAUGGACGUUACUGGACAAUGUGGAAGCUUCCCUUGUUCGGAUGCAC